UGGGAUAGUUCUAAUGUUGGUAAUUAGAGUUAUAUUGUAGCUAUAAUGCUUAAGGCUACGACUGUUCGAUUCAGUCCUAUCUCAU
rnacentral:tRNA from 1 species